rnacentral:rRNA from 1 species
AGUGGAUGGGGAGCAACCUAGUUGUGCGUGUGUAAAGGUAGUGCCAAGAAAAGCGAUGAUCAUGUUGAAAAUCAAUUCCCGGUACCCGAAACCGACACAGGGGCAAGUAGAGAAUACUAAGGGGCGCGAGGUAACUCUCUCCAAGGAACUCGGCAAAAUGACCCCGUAACUUAGGGAGAAGGGGUGCCACCGAGAGGUGGUCGCAGUGAAGAGGCCCAGGCGACUGUUUAGCAAAAACAUAGGUCUCUGCAAACUCGAAAGAGGAGGUAUAGGGGCUGACGCCUGCCCAGUGCCGGAAGGUUAAAGAAGUUGGUCAGUUUUAGGAUGAAGCUAGCGACUGAAGCCCCGGUGAACGGCGGCCGUAACUAUAACGGUCCUAAGGUAGCGAAAUUCCUUGUCGGGUAAGUUCCGACCCGCACGAAAGGCGUAACGAUCUGGGCGCUGUCUCGGAGAGAGGCUCGGCGAAAUAGGAUUGUCUGUGAAGAUACGGACUACCUGCAUUUGGACAGAAAGACCCUAUGAAGCUUUACUAUAGCUUGGAAUUGUGUUCGGGCUUCCUGUGCGCAGGAUAGGUGGGAGGCGUAGAAGGUAUUCUUGUGGGGAUACUGGAGCCAACGGUGAGAUACCACUCUCAGGAGGCUAGAAUUCUAACUUAAUUAAGGACAGUUUCAGGUGGGUAGUUUGACUGGGGCGGUCGCCUCCAAAAAGGUAACGGAGGCGUACAAAGGUUCCCUCAGACUGGUUGGAAAUCAGUCGAAGAGUGCAAAGGCAGAAGGGAGCUUGACUGCGAGAAGUACAGUUCGAGCAGGGUGGAAACACGGUCUUAGUGAUCCGACGGUGCUGUGUGGAAGGGCCGUCGCUCAACGGAUAAAAGUUACUCUAAGGAUAACAGGCUGAUCUCCCCCAAGAGUUCACAUCGACGGGGAGGUUUGGCACCUCGAUGUCGGCUCAUCGCAACCUGGGGCGGAAGUACGUCCCAAGGGUUGGGCUGUUCGCCCAUUAAAGCGGUACGUGAGCUGGGUUCAGAACGUCGUGAGACAGUUCGGUCCAUAUCCGAUGUAGGCGUGAGAAUAUUGAGAGGAGCCUUCCUUAGUACGAGAGGACCGGGAAGGACGCACCGCUGGUGUACCUGUUAUGAUGCCAAUUGUAAACGCAGGGUAGCCAAGUGCGGAGAGGAUAACCGCUGAAAGCAUCUAAGUGGGAAGCCCACCUCAAGAUGAGUAUUCUGGUGUAAGGUCACGGGAAGACGACCCGUAAAUAGGCACGAGGUGGAAGUGCAGAGAUGUAUGAAGCCGAAGUGUACUAAUAGACCGUCGGCUUGACCU